rnacentral:rRNA from 1 species
CCUACGGGUGGCAGCAGUGAGGAAUAUUGGUCAAUGGACGAGAGUCUGAACCAGCCAAGUCGCGUGAAGGAUGACUGCCCUAUGGGUUGUAAACUUCUUUUAUAUGGGAAUAAAAUGUUCCACGUGUGGGAUUUUGUAUGUACCCUAUGAAUAAGGAUCGGGUAAAUCCGUGCCAGCAGCCGCGGUAAUACGGAGGAUCGGAGCGUUAUCCGGAUUUAUUGGGUUUAAAGGGAGCGUAGGGGGAUUGUUCAAUCAGGUGUGAAAGUUUGCGGCUCAACCGUAGAAUUGCAGUUGAAACUGGCAGUCUUGAGUACACUAGAGGUGUGCGGAAUUCGUGGUGUAGCGGUGAAAUGCUUAGAUAUCACGAAGAACUCCGAUUGCGAAGGCAGCUCACUGGCCCGCAACUGACACUGAGGCUCGAAAGUGUGGGUAUCAAACAGGAUUAGAUACCCGAGUAGUC